rnacentral:rRNA from 1 species
UACGUAGGGUGCGAGCGUUGUUCGGAAUUAUUGGGCGUAAAGGGCUCGUAGGCGGUUUGUUGCGUCGGGUGUGAAAUCCACUGGCUUAACUGGGGACUUGCUUUCGAUACGGGCAGGCUGGAGGUAUGCAGGGGAGAACGGAAUUCCUGGUGUAGCGGUGAAAUGCGCAGAUAUCAGGAGGAACACCGGUGGCGAAGGCGGUUCUCUGGGCAUGUCCUGACGCUGAGGAGCGAAAGUGUGGGGAGCAAACAGG